GGAUUGUGGCUCAGUGGUAGAGUGCUCGCCUAGUAUACUAGAAGCACUGGGUUCGAUCCUCAGCACCA
rnacentral:tRNA from 1 species